CAGCUCAUUAAAACCUUAGCACACGUCUGGCACAGACGUCAGUUGCAAUUGAAAUUUUAACCAGAUAACUUUAGUUAGUCUCGUUAUACGCAGUACGAGUUUAAAUUUUAUCCAGCUGAAAAAGCAAAUGAAUAAAAAGGAUGAAGUGAAGUCUAGAGAAAUAUAAAAACAAGUCACAUACCAAAGAGCAAAUAAAAUAUAAUACCAAUAAAAUACAGUGCUUAAAUAAACGACAACAAAAUUAAGCGUUUAAUACAAUCUGCAGAGAAGGAACCAGAAAGAGCGAAAAACGAAGAAAACCCCAUGCAAUAAAAUCCAUAAACAAAAAAAGUUAUUGCAAAAUAAAAAUUCAAAACUGCCUUCAUAUUGCCCAAGCAAAUAACAACAUCAAUAAUAACCUGGAAAGAAAUCACAAUCAAUUGAAAUGACUUCGUCACGUUCAGACAACACACACUACUCAUCCAAGUCUCUGCGAAGAAAUGCUGCUCGACGCAUGCCAUGGUGGUGGCCAUCAACAUCGCCAUCAUCGUCGUCGUCGUCGCCAACAAUGCCUGCCAGGUACCACAAACUGCUGCUGAUAGUCUUCAGCAUUUGCCUGCUCCAAUUUGUUG
rnacentral:sRNA from 1 species